rnacentral:rRNA from 1 species
CAGUAGCCGCGGGAAUACGAAGGGGGCUAGCGUUGUUCGGAAUUACUGGGCGUAAAGGGCGCGUAGGCGGCCAUUCAAGUUAGAUGUGAAAGCCCUGGGCUCAACCUAGGAAUUGCAUUUGAUACUGUUUGGCUUGAGUUCGGGAGAGGUGAGUGGAAUUCCCAGUGUAGAGGUGAAAUUCGUAGAUAUUGGGAAGAACACCAGUGGCGAAGGCGGCUCACUGGACCGACACUGACGCUGAGGCGCGAAAGCGUGGGGAGCAAACAGGAUUAGAUACCCCAGUAGUCCCUGUCUCUUAUAC